GGGAUCUUAGCUCAGCUGGGAGAGCAUCUGCCUUACAAGCAGAGGGUCAUAGGUUCGAGCCCUAUAGGUCCCACGA
rnacentral:tRNA from 5 species